rnacentral:rRNA from 1 species
UACGUAGGGGGCAAGCGUUGUCCGGAAUUAUUGGGCGUAAAGAGCGCGCAGGCGGCUAUUUAAGUCUACCGUGAAAGCUUACGGCUCAACCGUAACGGGUCGGUGGAUACUGGAUGGCUUGAGGGCAGGAGAGGAAAGUGGAAUUCCCAGUGUAGCGGUGAAAUGCGUAGAGAUUGGGAGGAACACCAGUGGCGAAGGCGACUUUCUGGACUGUUACUGACGCUGAGGCGCGAAAGCUGGGGGAGUGAACGGG